GUCCAUUCCAGGCCUCUCUGUAGCUCCUGGUGGAUUUCUCAGGGCGGAUUGGUUUGGCCUCCAGCCUCCCACGGUCUCCUCAGUGUUUCUGUGUCCUUGGAGUGAAAGUCGUUCAGUCGUGUCUGACUCUUUGCGAUCCUCUAGACUGCAGCCCGCCAGGCUCCUCUGCCCGUGGCAUUCUCCAGGCAAGAAUGCUGGAGUGCGUAGCCAUUCCAUUAUCCAGGGGAUCUUCUUGACCCAGGGUUCAAACCCAGGUCUCCUGCAUUGCGGGCAGAUUCCUUACCGUCUGAGCCACCAGAGAAGCCCCUAGUCCCACCUUUCUCGUGUUAGGACCCCUGUUGUCAGAUUAAGCACCCACAUAAAUCAAGAUGAACUCAUCUCAAGACCUGAAUUGCACCUGUAGGCAAAUCCCAUCUGUUCUCAAAUAAGCUCAUAAUGGCAGAUUCUAGGGGUUCGGAUGCGGGCAUAUCUUUCUGGGGUCCCCAUUUAACCCCGCUCCAGAGGGCAGGGACUGGAAGGAGCUGUUGCGGGCAUGGUUUACAGGGCUGUGCUGGGGUGAGGGGCCCCACGGGGCAGGAGAGGCGUUCCCGCUCUGUAACUCCAGGGAUAACUCCAUCCGGGCUCCAGGGAUAAUGAGGUGAGUCAGCACCCUGACACCGCGCCGGUCUCCAGACCCGCUGGCCUGGCUGACGAGCAGCUCGGUGAUGAGCAGAUGCGUGAGGGUGGCAGGGAUGGCCCGUGGGUGGCAGGAGGUGAGGAGGAGCUGCCAGGCAGGAAAGGGCAGGUCUGGGAGCGGCUGGUGUGUUCCGGACCUGGAGGGAACCGCCCAGCAAGGCCAGAGCGAGAAGCCGCAGAGCCGGUUCCUCCAAGGUCAGCUUGGGUGAGCGAACCCGGCCGGCGUCUCCCCUGCCCUCCACUCACUGUCCCCUUGGUGGCCGACGGCCUGCAGCCAGGUGGGGCCUCUGGAGGCGGUGUGGUGGUCCCAGUCAGCGCCAGUGUUCCGGGUGGAGACCCCACUUGGACCCCCUGCACUGCUUGGAUUCAGCCCCUUCCUCACUCGGCUGGGCUUAAGACCUCCGCACCCCACCCCAGGAGGCCUGGUUUCUCCGGGCCAAGAGGCAUCUGAAAGGUCUGGGUGGGGAUCAUGGC
ensembl:lincRNA